GUCCUACCGGGCCGCCGCAGUGCUGUGAGCGGCAGGCUGACAAGGUUUGCAUCAUCUUCAGGUAUCCUACAGACCAGUGCUUGGACCGGAGAUUAAGAAGCAACUCAUGAGAUUACAGGGGACUCUAACAACUUAAUGACAGGCCAGCUUGCAACACGCAACAAAAUAAAAUCCUGCACAGAGAUUUCUUCACAUGCAUGUACUCCUGCUGCAGGUCGUCUGGGUCAGAGAGCUGAACCAAGCUGAGCCUGCCUCAGUGUCAAAGUUGGUUUUUAUGUGUUGUGUUGUGAACUGGAUGCAAAGCUAUUGUUCAAGCUGAACACAGUAUCUGUAACUUUUCAGGUUCUUGUUAACAAAUACCUUAAAAGAAAAAAAAAAAAAAGAAGAAAACAAAAGAUUGUGCAUGAUUAAAUUCAUAGAGAAUGAAUUAGGAAGCAAAGUUUGCGGGGUGACUAAAAGUGCUUCACAAAGCCUCGUUAAGCUGCAUCCAGACCACAGCUACUUUUGACCUUACCAGCUAUUUUCCACGUUUUAUGCUGAGAGAGGGGCAGUCAUUCUGUUGACACUCAGGAGUUGCAGAACAGGGCAAGAAGAAGAGGAUGAGAGUGGGAAUGCCUCAAAAAGCAAAUACUGAAAGAGGUGGGUGGUUUCACUUCAUAAAUGCAGCGGGCAAGUUAAGCCUGUUUAAUCCUCUCAUCAUACCAGUAUUAAAAUAUCCUCCAGCUGCACUUCACUUCCUGGAAUCUUCCCUGAUAUAUCAGAAGGAUGAAUACUACCACAUCCAGAUGCAAAAGGACAUCAGACCCCAUGUGGUAUGUACAUGUUUGUUUCAUAUAAGGUCUUUGCCAGUAGGAACUGGAGAGAGAACUGGGGAGAGGCGUAAGAGCACCAUGAUAAAGAGGAAAAGGAGAAAAAAAAUCUCCACAUUCCAAUCUUCUUUGCCUGAUGUUGGUUGUGACUUUCUAGUGUCUCAUAGAUAUUAAAGCUGUUGAUCCUUUCAGAGGUGUAUGCAUUCUUCUCUCAAACACUUUAGUGUUUUGCUUUUAGUUUAUGAAUUACUCAAUGCUGUUGCAAUGUCCGUUGUUUCCAUUCAUCUGUUUUUUUCAGAAUUGCGAGUUUUUCAAUCAACUUAUUAGAAAACAUAGCUGUCCGUAUAAAAUAUAACUGCACACACAAGACUACACAUAAUGCAAGUCUAAAUCUUCAGUAUUUACCUACUUA